rnacentral:tRNA from 1 species
GAAAGUAUAGUUUAAGAGGUAAAAUUCCUAAGUUUAUGCUUAGGGUGUUAUAGGUUCGAAUCCUAUUACUUUCACCA